rnacentral:lncRNA from 1 species
AAUACCCUAUUUUUGCCAGGGUCAAAAGGGCCCGAAUUACAAACGGGACUGAAUGACCCAAUUAAUAAGACAAAGCAGUGGCCCAAUUAAUUCAAAUGCAAUUACAACAGAAUAGGCCCAAAAUUAACAGUGGCCCAAGUAGUUUCAGAAACCCUAGGGUUUCUAGGGUAAACCGCAGCCUUCCUCAAACGCUGCAGCCAAGCAUCACAGCAUGAUCUUCAGACCUGCACAUCAAGAAAGAAAGCGGCAGUAUAUGGAAAGGAAAAGAUUUGCAAAUCAAAUCAAAGAUUGUUUCUUUAUAUUGUUGAUACUUCGGCUAUAAAAGAGCCAUCGAUAUACUGUAAUGAGGCCCCCCCUGAAAUCGAAAAUCAAUAAAAAAACAGGGAAUUACACAAUACAACAAGAACAAAGAAUUGAACCAAGAGGUUCACAUUUACAGUUUUUUUACUUAUUUAUUUUUCGUUUCGCUUUAGUUUAUUUAUUAUUAUCGGUAUUUUUACAUACGAAUAAAACAAAAUAAUAAAAAGGAAAGAAAUAACCUUUAGUGGUGCCCAGAUCGCCGUCGAUGGCCGAGGGUGUCGUCUCC